GUCCAGGUGACACCAGCCCAGCAGCAGGAGGAGCCGGAGAUGCUGUGGGUGACGGGUCCCGUGCUGGCAGUCAUCCUCAUCAUCCUCAUUGUCAUCGCCAUCCUCUUGUUCAAAAGGAAAAGGACCCACUCUCCGUCCUCUAAGGAUGAGCAGUCGAUCGGACUGAAGGACUCCUUGCUGGCCCACUCCUCUGACCCUGUGGAGAUGCGGAGGCUCAACUACCAGACCCCAGGUAGGGCACUCCUAUGGCCUGUGUGCCCCCAGCCCAGACCUAGCAGGCCUGUGGGUCUGUUCUGCAGGUCUCAGGGUCGCCACUGAAGUUCCUGGGCCGCAUGCACUUGUUCCUGCUCCUUUUCUUCCUUUCUGCCCUUCUCCCUGUGCUCAUCCACUUUGGUUGGAAUGACUGGGGAGCCCCCAUAUCCUGCAGCUGGACAGGUGCCCCAGGCCAGGACCCUCUUAGGUGGCAAAGCCACUUAGCCACUGCCUUGUCUUCAGUCAAGGCCUCUGAAUAUGGGCUGAGGACCUCCCAGAGCCCACGUCUCUGCCACAGGGUGGCCAGUGUCUGGCGCACGCUCUGACGCCUCCACAUGAAAGAGGGGCAUGUUAGCAGUGGGAGAUGCCUCACCAGACAUCUGUGGGGAGAUGAAGUGCCUGCACCUGAGCCUUCCUGGAGGCCGACCCCAGGUUUACCAUACCACGUACCUGCCCCUUCUCCUAGCCACUCUCAUGGGGCUGUCCACCUCUUCCUUCUACCUGAAAUGUUACUCCUCCCAACACCCAGCAGACACAGCUCAGACCUCUCCUCUUGCCCACACCCCCACAGGGUUAGGUGUCUCUUCUUGGCUCCAGGAACCUCCCUCCUUCUUCCUUUUGACGCCUCUCACAGUGAGCUGGGAUUACCUCAGUGACAGUCUCUGAGCUCUGUGGUGCCAGGAACUGUGUCUUGUCAUCCCCCAUCCCUUGUAUUCAGCGCACGAUGGGUUCUUGUUGAAUGCCUGUGAAAUGAACACACAGACAAAUGAAGGAAUGAGUGAACUAAUGCAUACACACAGGGUUUGUGUAUGUAUGAGCUGGUUAUUCUGCAUGUCAAAUUACCCCAAAACUUAGUGGCUUAAAACAACAAUAAUUAUGUAUUAUCUGUCACAGUUUUUGUGAGGCAGGAAUUCAGACAGGGGCACAGCAGGAACAGCUUGUCUUUAUUCCAGAAAGUCUGGGCCCUCAGCCGGAAGACUUGAAGGCUGGGAGCUAGAGUCAUUUAAAGCAGGGGUUGGCAGACUAUGGCCCGUGGCCAAGUACAGCCCACCACCUGUUUUUGUAAAUAAAUUUUUACUGGCUGGGCGUGGUGGCUCAUGCCUGUGAUCCCAGCACUUUGGGAGGCUGAGCCGGGUGGAUCACCUGAGGUCAGGAGUUCGAGACCAGCUAAUGAAAUCCCAUCUCUACU
rnacentral:lncRNA from 1 species